GUUGAAUUUCAAUGAUAUAUGUGCCAUCAGCAAAAGGAUGUGUAUGCAGUGGAUUGCUACGUGGUACCAACAUGGCUACCACCACAUUGUCCGGAUACCUCGUCUUUCCCCAAUGAUUUGGCAAACAAGGAUUUUGUCCUCAUACCUAUUUGGAAACCAGGACACUACAUGCUCUGUGUUUUGAAGCUGA